rnacentral:rRNA from 1 species
UGGGGAAUAUUGCACAAUGGGCGAAAGCCUGAUGCAGCCAUGCCGCGUGUGUGAAGAAGGCCUUCGGGUUGUAAAGCACUUUCAGCAGUGAGGAAGAUGGUAAGCUUAAUACGCUUAUCAUUUGACGUUAGCUGCAGAAGAAGCACCGGCUAACUCCGUGCCAGCAGCCGCGGUAAUACGGAGGGUGCGAGCGUUAAUCGGAAUUACUGGGCGUAAAGCGCAUGCAGGUGGUGAGUUAAGUCAGAUGUGAAAGCCCGGGGCUCAACCUCGGAAUUGCAUUUGAAACUGGCUCACUAGAGUACUGUAGAGGGGGGUAGAAUUUCAGGUGUAGCGGUGAAAUGCGUAGAGAUCUGAAGGAAUACCAGUGGCGAAGGCGGCCCCCUGGACAGAUACUGACACUCAGAUGCGAAAGCGUGGGGAGCAAACAGGAUUAGAUACCCCCGUAGUCC